rnacentral:rRNA from 1 species
UACGGGGGGGGCAAGCGUUGUUCGGAAUUACUGGGCGGAAAGGGCUCGUAGGCGGCCAACUAAGUCGGAUGUGAAAUCCCCAGGCUCAACUUGGGAACUGCAUCCGAUACUGGAUGGCUUGAAUCCGGGAGAGGGAUGCAGAAUUCCAGGUGUAGCGGUGAAAUGCGUAGAUAUCUGGAGGAAUACCGGUGGCGAAGGCGGCAUCCUGGACCGGCAUUGACGCUGAUGAGCGAAAGCUAGGGGAGCAAACGGG